rnacentral:rRNA from 1 species
UACGUAGGGUCCGAGCGUUGUCCGGAAUUAUUGGGCGUAAAGGGCUCGUAGGCGGUCUGUUGCGUCGGGAGUGAAAACUUACAGCUUAACUGUGAGCGUGCUUCCGAUACGGGCAGACUUGAGGUAUUCAGGGGAGAACGGAAUUCCUGGUGUAGCGGUGAAAUGCGCAGAUAUCAGGAGGAACACCCGUGGCGAAGGCGGUUCUCUGGGACGGUACUGACGCUGAGACGCGAAAGCGUGGGGAGCGAACAGG